rnacentral:rRNA from 1 species
UAGGGAAUCUUCCACAAUGGACGCAAGUCUGAUGGAGCAACGCCGCGUGAGUGAAGAAGGCUUUCGGGUCGUAAAACUCUGUUGGUAGAGAAGAACGUUGGUGAGAGUGGAAAGCUCAUCAAGUGACGGUAACUACCCAGAAAGGGACGGCUAACUACGUGGCAGCAGCCGCGGUAAUACGUAGGUCCCGAGCGUUGUCCGGAUUUAUUGGGCGUAAAGCGAGCGCAGGUGGUUUAUUAAGUCUGGUGUAAAAGGCAGUGGCUCAACCAUUGUAUGCAUUGGAAACUGGUAGACUUGAGUGCAGGAGAGGAGAGUGGAAUUCCAUGUGUAGCGGUGAAAUGCGUAGAUAUAUGGAGGAACACCGGUGGCGAAAGCGGCUCUCUGGCCUGUAAAC